rnacentral:rRNA from 1 species
UACGUAGGCAGCGAGCGUUGUUCGGAGUUACUGGGCGUAAAGGGUGUGUAGGCGGUUCUCUAAGUUUGGUGUGAAAUCUCCCGGCUCAACCGGGAGGGUGCGCCGAAAACUGGGGGACUCGAGUGCGGGUGGGGAGAGUAGAAUUCCUGGUGUAGCGGUGAAAUGCGUAGAUAUCAGGAGGAAUACCGGUGGUGUAGACGGCUCUCUGGACCGCCACUGACGCUGAGACACGAAAGCGUGGGUAGCAAACAGG